AUCGCUUCUCGGCCUUUUGGCUAAGAUCAAGUGUAGAAUCUUUUUAUUCUGCCAUCCUAU
rnacentral:snRNA from 1 species